CACACCGCCCGUCACACCAUGGGAGUGGGUUUCACCCAGAAGCAGCUAGCCUAACCGCAAGGGGGCGGCUACCACGGUGAGAUUCAUGACUGGGGUG
rnacentral:rRNA from 1 species